rnacentral:rRNA from 1 species
AGUGAACGCUGGCGGUAGGCCUAACACAUGCAAGUCGAACGGCAGCACAGUAAGAGCUUGCUCUUACGGGUGGCGAGUGGCGGACGGGUGAGGAAUACAUCGUAAUCUACUUUUUCGUGGGGGAUAACGUAGGGAAACUUACGCUAAUACCGCAUCCGACCUACGGGUGAAAGCAGGGGAACUUCGGACCUUUCGCGAAUGGAUGAGCCGAUGGCGGAUUUGUUAGUUGGGGGGGUAAAUGCCCACCAAGGCGACGGUCCGUAGCUGGUCUGAGAGGAUGAUCAGCCACACUGGAACUGAGACACGGUCCAGACUCCUACGGGAGGCAGCAGUGGGGAAUAUUGGACAAUGGGCGCAAGCCUGAUCCAGCCAUACCGCGUGGGUGAAGAAGGCCUUCGGGUUGUAAAGCCCUUUUGUUGGGAAAGAAAAGCAGCAGGUUAAUACCCCGCUGUUCUGACGGUACCCAAAGAAUAAGCACCGGCUAACUUCGUG